rnacentral:tRNA from 1 species
GGUAAGAUGGCCGAGUGCCAUUAGGCGGUGGACUGUAGAUCCAUGUACAGGGGUUUAAAUCCCCUUCUUAUCA